rnacentral:rRNA from 1 species
AUACGUAGGGAGCGAGCGUUGUCCGGAAUUACUGGGUGUAAAGGGAGCGUAGGCGGGAGUGCAAGUCAGAUGUGAAAUACAUGGGCUCAACCCAUGGGCUGCAUUUGAAACUGCAUUUCUUGAGUGAAGUAGAGGUAAGCGGAAUUCCUGGUGUAGCGGUGAAAUGCGUAGAUAUCAGGAGGAACACCGGUGGCGAAGGCGGCUUACUGGGCUUUUACUGACGCUGAGGCUCGAAAGCGUGGGGAGCAAACAGGAUUAGAUACCCUGGUAGUCCACGCUGUAAACGAUGAUUACUAGGUGUGGGGGGACUGACCCCUUCCGUGCCGCAGUUAACACAAUAAGUAAUCCACCUGGGGAGUACGGCCGCAAGGUUGAAACUCAAAUGAAUUGACGGG